GUUGAUAAGGUUAAGUGAAUAAGGGCGCACGGUGGAUGCCUUGGCACUAGGAGCCGAUGAAGGACGGGACUAACACCGAUAUGCUUUGGGGAGCUGUACGUAAGCUAUGAUCCAGAGAUUUCCGAAUGGGGAAACCCAACAUCUUUUAUAGGAUGUUACGUUUGCGUGAAUACAUAGCGCAUUCGAGGUAGACGCAGAGAACUGAAACAUCUAAGUACCUGCAGGAAGAGAAAGAAAAUUCGAUUCCCUGAGUAGCGGCGAGCGAAACGGGAAAAGCCCAAACCAAUGAGCUUGCUCAUUGGGGUUGUAGGACUCCAAUAUGGUAGUUCUUUCAGAUAAUCGAAUGACUUGGAAAAGUCAGUCAAAGAGGGUAAAAACCCCGUAGAUGAAAUUUGGAAGGCACCUAGGAGGAUCCUGAGUACGGCGGAACACGAGGAAUUCCGUCGGAAUCCGGGAGGACCAUCUCCCAAGGCUAAAUACUCCCUAGUGACCGAUAGUGAACCAGUACCGUGAGGGAAAGGUGAAAAGCACCCCGGAAGGGGAGUGAAAUAGAACCUGAAACCGUGUGCCUACAACAAGUCAAAGCCCGUUAAUGGGUGAUGGCGUGCCUUUUGUAGAAUGAACCGGCGAGUUACGAUUGCAUGCGAGGUUAAGUCGAAGAGACGGAGCCGCAGCGAAAGCGAGUCUGAAUAGGGCGUUUGAGUAUGUAGUCGUAGACCCGAAACCAUGUGAUCUACCCAUGUCCAGGUUGAAGGUGCGGUAAAACGCACUGGAGGACCGAACCCACGUACGUUGAAAAGUGCGGGGAUGAGGUGUGGGUAGCGGAGAAAUUCCAAACGAACUUGGAGAUAGCUGGUUCUCUCCGAAAUAGCUUUAGGGCUAGCCUCGGAUUUGAGAAUGAUGGAGGUAGAGCACUGUUUGGACUAGGGGCCCAUCUCGGGUUACCGAAUUCAGAUAAACUCCGAAUGCCAUUCAUUCAUAUCCGGGAGUCAGACUGUGAGUGAUAAGAUCCAUAGUCGAAAGGGAAACAGCCCAGACCACCAGCUAAGGUCCCAAAAUAUAUGUUAAGUGGAAAAGGAUGUGGGGUUGCACAGACAACUAGGAUGUUGGCUCAGAAGCAGCCACCAUUUAAAGAGUGCGUAAUAGCUCACUAGUCGAGUGACCCUGCGCCGAAAAUGUACCGGGGCUAAACAUAUUACCGAAGCUGUGGAGUACACCAUUAGGUGUAUUGGUAGGAGAGCGUUCUAAGGGCGUUGAAGGC
rnacentral:rRNA from 1 species